GAUGAACGCUGGCGGCGUGCCUAAUACAUGCAAGUCGAGCGAAGCGGGGACGGGUGAGUAACAUGUGGAUAACCUCCUAUAAGAUUGGGAUAACUUCGGGAAACCGGAGCUAAACCCGACACUUACAGAAGGAUCUACGCUGCAUUAGCUAGUUGCUAAUGUAACGGCUUACCACGGCAACGUUGCAUAGGCGACCUGAGAGUGUGAGGAGCGACGCUGGAGAUGAGACACUGUCCAAGCUCGUACGGGAGGCAGCAGGAGAGAAUCUUCCGGGAUGGACGAAAGCCAGAAGAAGCCACGGCGCGUGAGUGAGGAGGUUCUACGGAUCGUAGAACACUGUUAUUUUGGAAGCGGUACCUAAUCAGAAAGCCCCGGCUAACUGCGUGCCAGCAGCCGCGGUAAUAC
rnacentral:rRNA from 1 species